ACGCCGCGUGAGUGAGAAGGCCUUCGGGUUGUAAAGCUCUGUCGUCCGGGAAGAAAAGCGCAGGCUCACUGCCUGCGCCCUGACGGUACCUUACUAGAAAGCCCCGGCUAACUACGUGCCAGCAGCCGCGGUAAUAA
rnacentral:rRNA from 1 species